rnacentral:lncRNA from 1 species
ACAGUGACCAAUGAAAGGCCAGGCGGCUGGGAGCUGGCGCUGUGAUUGGUGGACACCGGGUUGAUCUCGGGGCCGGAGGUGGGAGCUGCGUUUGUGCGGGAGCGGCGGCGGCGCGAACCCGGCUCGAGGAAGGUGCGGUCCGGUCCGGUCCUGCCCUGCCCUGGGAGGGGGUUCGGGGGCAGGGGCCGCCCGGUGCGCGCUUCCCCUCUUCCUCUCUCCUGUAUUCCAGGCGGGGCCAUGGUGGAAGCCGCCGGCCCCACGCGGCUGCUGGAGGUGUGCGGGCAGCUGCUGUCCCGGUUCCUUCGCGAUGCCGAGCGCAAGCGCCUGGCGUGGCUGCGGGAGGUGGAGGAGCAGGGCAUGAGGAUGCUGGAGAGCAACCUGGCGGCUGAACCCAGCCCCAUGGCCAGAACGCCCUCCCAGAGGAGGCGCUCCCGGAAAAGGCAGUCUUCCUGCCUGAAGGACUACAGCAGGGAGCCCAGCAGGAGGAGGUUGUCCAGAAGACGAAGCAGCAUCAAACUCGUGUCUUUCAAGCCAGGCUCCCAGAGGCGCCAGAGCAAGGAGCAGCCCCUGGAUGCUGGCUGUGC